rnacentral:lncRNA from 1 species
GGGAAGUUCAGAGUGCAGUUGGGAUGUACCGAGUGUAAUUGGGACCAGGCUGUCUGUCCCCAGUGAGUCGGGACCUGAGCUGGCCCGAGCAGGAAGCAUCUCGGGAGACUGUGGCCGGCCCUUCUGCACGUCCUCACCCCAACAACCAGGACAGGCUUGAAGACACCGGUGAGAGGGGCACAGAGACAGGCGGCACCACGGGCAGCUGCUCCGGGCAGCACAGCAGGAAGAGUCUCGUGAAGUGCCUCAUGGAUUCCCUGACCGCUUGGCCCCAGGUACCGCGUCCAGUGGAGGAGGCUGAGGCCACACACGGAUUGACCCAGGGACUUGCCCGAGAUCACACCAGCAAGUGGCAAAGCUGCGAUCUGACUUCAGACCAAGGUCCCAACACGCAGGCUCCUAACCGGCCAAGGAGAGCUGGAACCCGUGGCGGGUUGCCUGCCCACAGGGGGCUGCGGCAACAGGCCACAGGGGUGCGGGGACACCGGCGGGAAGUGAGCCUCCAACACCUAUCCCCCAUGCUGGCCUCCUCCUCUGUCCUCCAAGCUAGGAGUUCCCUUGGAUCUCAGGCUUUGGGGACCCCCUGGGGCUGCUCUUGAGACUCAUCAGUAGGCUGGGUCCUCAGCUGCCAUCACCCUAACUUCCUCGGGGCACUUGCUGCAGGGCAGGUCUGGGAUGGGUCUGCAUCCAGCUGCCCCCCGGGAGUCCUGCUGCUGGCACAGGGACCUCACCCCCAGCACCGACGGCUGGGCAGAGCUUCCCACCCCAGGCUGCUCACCAAGUUCACCAGCACGACACAAAGCAGAGCAGGACAAACGA